AAUUGUUAUGUUCAAAAUCUAUGACUCAGGUAAAAUAUAUUUUUGGGUCCGCUACUGAUGCAUGCCUUGGUUUAGCAAUGAACUGUGAGAGAACUUGUACGGCAUAACACAAUUUUAAACGAAUGAUAAAAA
rnacentral:sRNA from 1 species